rnacentral:misc_RNA from 1 species
AGAGAGAUCUUGAAGCUGAGCACAAUUUUCAACCACGAUGUUACAAGACCCACGCUUGGUAUCCCGACUGUCCCAAAGGUGCUAAAUACAUUGUCAUCUACCGUGAACCAUGUGCUUCUUUCAGUAGUUUCUUCAACUUUCUCAAAGGCUGGUUUUUCCAACCUGGGGAGAUUUCC